rnacentral:rRNA from 1 species
UACGUAGGGUGCGAGCGUUAAUCGGAAUUACUGGGCGUAAAGCGUGCGCAGGCGGUUUUGUAAGCCAGAUGUGAAAUCCCCGGGCUUAACCUGGGAAUGGCAUUUGGGACUGCAAGGCUUGAGUGCGGCAGAGGAGACUGGAAUUCCUGGUGUAGCAGUGAAAUGCGCAGAUAUCAGGAGGAACACCGAUGGCGAAGGCAGCUCGCUGGGACGGUACUGACGCUGAGGCGCGAAAGCGUGGGGAGCAAACAGG